rnacentral:rRNA from 1 species
GAUGAACGCUAGCUACAGGCUUAACACAUGCAAGCCGAGGGGAAACGACAUCGAAAGCUUGCUUUUGAUAGGCGUCGACCGGCGCACGGGUGAGUAACGCGUAUCCAACCUGCCCACCACUUGGGGAUAACCUUGCGAAAGUAAGACUAAUACCCAAUGACGUCUCUAGAAGACAUCUGAAGGAGAUUAAAGAUUUAUCGGUGAUGGAUGGGGAUGCGUCUGAUUAGCUUGUUGGCGGGGUAACGGCCCACCAAGGCGACGAUCAGUAGGGGUUCUGAGAGGAAGGUCCCCCACAUUGGAACUGAGACACGGUCCAAACUCCUACGGGAGGCAGCAGUGAGGAAUAUUGGUCAAUGGGCGAGAGCCUGAACCAGCCAAGUAGCGUGCAGGAUGACGGCCCUAUGGGUUGUAAACUGCUUUUAUAAGGGAAUAAAGUGAGCCUCGUGAGACUUUUUGCAUGUACCUUAUGAAUAAGGACCGGCUAAUUCCGUGCCAGCCGCCGCCGUAA